AGUGAACGCUGGCGGUAGGCCUAACACAUGCAAGUCGAACGGCAGCACAGUAAGAGCUUGCUCUUACGGGUGGCGAGUGGCGGACGGGUGAGGAAUACAUCGGAAUCUACUUUUUCGUGGGGGAUAACGUAGGGAAACUUACGCUAAUACCGCAUACGACCUACGGGUGAAAGCAGGGGAUCUUCGGACCUUGCGCGAUUGAAUGAGCCGAUGUCGGAUUAGCUAGUUGGCGGGGUAAAGGCCCACCAAGGCGACGAUCCGUAGCUGGUCUGAGAGGAUGAUCAGCCACACUGGAACUGAGACACGGUCCAGACUCCUACGGGAGGCAGCAGUGGGGAAUCUUGGACAAUGGGCGCAAGCCUGAUCCAGCCAUACCGCGUGGGUGAAGAAGGCCUUCGGGUUGUAAAGCCCUUUUGUUGGGAAAGAAAAGAAGCAGGUUAAUACCCCGCUGUUCUGACGGUACCCAAAGAAUAAGCACCGGCUAACUUCGUG
rnacentral:rRNA from 1 species